rnacentral:lncRNA from 1 species
ACAAUGGUUGUGCUAAUUGUAAUAAAAGCUAAUAAUUAAUUACUCUUUUAGUUGAAACUUAAAACUCUUCUGUAAAAAGUAAAAAAAAAUCAUUGGCAAACAAAAAUCAGUGGACAUAUUGUGUUUGUUGAAACACUGGACUGGAAAACAAUAUAGUUAUGAAUUAUAACCAUUCCUGUCGUUGUCAUUCAUCUUUCAAGUUUUAUACGUAAAGCGCGUAAAGUUUGGAAUAUCAUAAUUCAUAUGUGACUAGUAGAUGGCGCCAGCGUCGCACAGUGUAUUAAGUAGCAGUCGACGAAAGUUUCGAUAGAUGAGCAAUGGCUGACAAAUUUUUGCCAAGCUCUGAUGUGUGUUAUCGCUUAUCCGUUUGAUAUCUUUUAUAACAAGGCUCAUUGCUGUUUGAAAGACUUUAUUAGUUGAUUUUUAGUCAACAUUGUUACAGUUUUUAUUUUUUACCUUAAUCUUUCAUGCUUAUUUCUCAUGUAUCUAACAGUCCAUUCUCAGUCUCUCAGAGUCUGGUAAGCACUUCGUAGUCUGUGGUUAGGGUUUCGAUGGGUGUUAUUAGCGCCAAAAGUGAAAACUGAAAUAGAAAUCUCUGGUUCAAUUGACUUAAGUAUGUGGCUUCCCAGAUCCAGGCCAGUCAAGUUAUGUGAAAACUCCAUAAUUGACGGCAGCUCUGUACAUGUGGCUAAUAAUGAAGCUGAAGCCUACCACAAAGAAGCAAAAGAAGAAAUUUCCAGUUCAGUCGACUCAGAUAUGGUGUACAGACUGUCAUUAAGUUCUGGUGUCCAAACUCUUGAAAAGUUGACAACAGCUUAUAGAUGGACUGAUGAAGGCUACAAGAAAAUGAGUUGUCUCCGCGAGAAUUAAUUCGUACGGAGCUCGUCGCGGAAACGAUGAAAUCAUGGCUCGUGGAACUUUUGCAAACAUUCGUCUAAUUAAUAAUUUAGUGUCCAAACCUGGUCUUAUCUGAUGAAAAAUUCGAUCGCUAGUUGACCCAACUUUAACAAACUGAAAAGUUUCUGGACGAAGAAAUUGCUGGCAUGGAUAGUGAAAUGAUGGAACUUCAGCAGAAGGCACGCACACUUUUGAAGGAGGAUUCCCACGAAAGAUGCAUUGCGUCAACGCAAACAAAUAGAAUUGAUGUGUAACCAGCAAACAGUUCUUAUCUAAAAUCUACGAUGAAAUUCAGGUUAUACAAGAGGCCUACAAAAUUGGCCUUUCUGAAUCAAAUGAUUUGUCUAGCGAUCCUUCGAAGAAAGAAGAAAAUAUUCUCUACGCCGAACUGAAGACGGAGUUUAAGCAACAGGAAGAAACCUGGAAUAUCUUCCCACUGAUUACUGUUCAAGAAGACGAAUCCCGAAUUGGAAGAGGAAUUGAAAAAUGUUGUAGCUGAAAGUGCGCGAAUCAUGUUUGUUGGAACAUUGAAAACAAAAAUAUUGUUGUUAUCAUUUUGUUUUUGUUAUUGUCAUUAUUCAACUUUUAAGUUUUAAUUAUACAGGCAUCAUUGCCUUAAUUAAUUUGAUUAACUGAUUGCAUGGAGCUAAAGGCUUAAAGUUUGGAAUAUUAUCAUAUCAUAUGCGACUAGUAGUCGUAGACUUUGACUCAUAUGCGCCCAUUUACAUUUGACUGUGUCCUACUGUAAACUUAGUCUUAGGUUUGCAAUUAAUUAAACAUUCAGAUGCAGGUUUUGCUUUAGAAAUAAUGGUGUUAUAUGAGGUGUUUCCUUUUUCGAAUGUAAUAUUUUCUACUUUUUCUUUUACUUAUGAAAUCUCCAGUUUAAUUGACUCAAGUAUAUAGAUGCCCAAAUCCAGGCCAGUUGAGCUAUGUGAAAACUCCCAUUGACGACAGUUUUAUCCAUUGCUGUUAGAUGAACGCAAGGUGUAACAAAAAAAACUUUGGAGUUCUUCUAUCUUUAGAGUUCUACUGUCAGCAACCCAUGGCUAUUACCUCCGGUCUAUCCUUCCGGUCAUCAAUCGAUUCAGGAAAGAUAUUCUCAUUUUCGAAUGUGUAACUAACUUAAGAUUCAAAACUCAUUACUUGAUGUCGCCACUGUCGCUCUUGUUGUUCCUACGUCCCCUACCGCCCUACGUCAUGAAACGAGACGAAAUGGGCAAAACAAAUUGUUGCUAAUUAUACUUAUAUUCCUGUGAUUUCAAAUACCAAAUUGAAUUCGUAUCAUUAUAUGUAGGCUAAGGCCUAUAGCUACUGUCAGUCAUCCCAACAAGUUCACUUAGCGCUCAGUCACUUUUUAUUCCUCAUGCUGUCAAAAGCCUUAAACUCAUGUUUGAAGCCCACAUAUAGAGUAAUACAAAUGUGCGGAAAUAAGGUAUUUUCCCAUUACUGCUACCAUACCAAUCACACUAUGUCAAAUGCCUUACUAAAUCAUCACCCAUACGAUAAAGCGUCAGGAAAUUUAUCUCAACUUGAGGAAUAAUGCUGUUGAUUGCUGUAAUUCAAUUAUUACCGUUUGUCAUCAUGAACAUUUCGGUGUGCUUCUUAGAAAAGAGCACGCAGUUUCUUUAUGGAUAUGUGUGGUCCUGGCAUGGAGAUUCUUGUGCC